AUUGGUGAGAAAGUAAGAUAUACAAGAGUAACAAAGCGAAUUGGGCGAUGUGAAUGGUGCAAACACGCACAUUUCAGGGUUUUGCAGUGUUGUGUGGGGAGAAGCGUAGAGGCAGACUGCUGCUGGCCCACAGACAGCUGCUUGAGACCGGGGAGCUCUGCAGAAGAGAGCCGGGGACAGAGCCGGAGCUUCCGGAGGAAUAAACACAAUAGUCACAUUGGAUUCUGCUCUGAUCUGGAGAUGUUUACCAGCAAAAGGAGAGGAGCUUUUGGGAUUCUCUUCUCAACCUGUCCGCUGUAAGCCACAGAGGUGCCACCCCGACUUGGCACAGCAGCUGUCUGUGUGCACCCAGAGCUCGAUGAUACUACUUCAUAUUUAUACAGAAACCAGACAACAAAGGAAAUUGCUUGGAGAAAAGUAAAAGAGGAAGACUACCUGGAACCUUGUAAAUUCAACACAGAGUUCAACACAGAGACAGCAGAAGAGAGCCGACACAGCCACACUCAACGCGCCACUGCAAGUGCAACCAAAGCCCCACGAACAAAAAGCUGAUAAGGGGCCAUCUGUUGUCUAGAACCGGGGCUGCUGGGAAGGAAUGGCAUUGGACAAGAGUUUGACACGAGGAUCCAGAAUGGUUUUCGUCACUCAUACAAACAUACUGUAUCAAAAAUCAACAGUGUGUUUGAUCUAAAGGUUUUAUGAGCUUUUAGGCUUGUUCCUUUGUUCUGAGCUGUCCUUUGGUAUGCUUAGACAAAAAGAGAUCGGUGUCAGAUUGAGUCUGGAAGGGGGAUUAUGGCAAAUACCAGCAUAACACACAAUAUGUAAUGGAAAUGAGCUCACCAGCUUGCUCUGGAGCCACCAAGGGACUGGGAUAGAUUGUGAGUAGGGACAAAUAAUUCACAUACACACCACCACAUUUAUACACAAUUAAGAGGGACACACACCAGAUCUACCAUGCCCAAGCUUCAAGACCAUUUUUGUCAUUGUUUAGAUCUAACCAAAGCACAGAGUUUCCUGGAAAGGCCCUGGACAUAGUGAAUUACUGAUAUAAACACUAGCAUGUGUAAUAUUAAGAAUUCCUCCGAACUCUUUGGUUAGAUGCACUUGUUGCUGCUGCUAGUUUAGAAAGAUGUACUUCAGAUAACUCUUAAGU